rnacentral:rRNA from 1 species
GCUACACAUGCAAGUCGAGCGGUAGCACAGAGAGCUUGCUCUCGGGUGACGAGCGGCGGACGGGUGAGUAAUGUCUGGGAAACUGCCUGAUGGAGGGGGAUAACUACUGGAAACGGUAGCUAAUACCGCAUAACGUCGCAAGACCAAAGUGGGGGACCUUCGGGCCUCAUGCCAUCAGAUGUGCCCAGAUGGGAUUAGCUGGUAGGUGGGGUAACGGCUCACCUAGGCGACGAUCCCUAGCUGGUCUGAGAGGAUGACCAGCCACACUGGAACUGAGACACGGUCCAGACUCCUACGGGAGGCAGCAGUGGGGAAUAUUGCACAAUGGGCGCAAGCCUGAUGCAGCCAUGCCGCGUGUGUGAAGAAGGCCUUCGGGUUGUAAAGCACUUUCAGCGGGGAGGAAGGCGGUGAGGUUAAUAACCUCACCGAUUGACGUUACCCGCAAAAGAAGCACCGGCUAACUCCGUGCCAGCAGCCGCGGUAAUACGGAGGGUGCAAGCGUUAAUCGGAAUUACUGGGCGUAAAGCGCACGCAGGCGGUCUGUCAAGUCGGAUGUGAAAUCCCCGGGCUCAACCUGGGAACUGCAUUCGAAACUGGCAGGCUAGAGUCUUGUAGAGGGGGGUAGAAUUCCAGGUGUAGCGGUGAAAUGCGUAGAGAUCUGGAGGAAUACCGGUGGCGAAGGCGGCCCCCUGGACAAAGACUGACGCUCAGGUGCGAAAGCGUGGGGAGCAAACAGGAUUAGAUACCCUGGUAGUCCACGCUGUAAACGAUGUCGAUUUGGAGGUUGUGCCCUUGAGGCGUGGCUUCCGGAGCUAACGCGUUAAAUCGACCGUCCUGGAGGAGUACGGCCGCAAGGAUUAAAACUCAAUAUGAAUUUGACGGGGGGCCCGCA